GCUGCGCACUUCGGUCUUUUACGUCGGCCUUCGCGAGCGUCUGGGCGGGUGGUAGGAACAAUGGCGCUGUCUUCAGUGGCACAGUGGAGCAGCUCUGAAGAUGCAAAGGUAAGAGCUUAGUUAAGCUUAGUUUCCAAACUAAAGGAGUAAACCUGUUGAUUUACAGGAAUAGGAACUGUUGCAUCGUUUGAAAUUUACUUUUUUUUGUUAGAUACACGAAAAAACUUCCAGAACAUCUGGGAGAAUAUUUAAUGGAAAAUCGCUUGGUUAAAACCUGACACUUUUAACAGGUAUGUGUUGUUUUAGUACUUUAUGAUUGAGCAUAGCAUUUAAUCCACACCUAGACUAAAUCAAAUUUUUUUUGUCAGUGAACAGCGUUCUGAGUGUGGACGAGUAGCCAGUGAAGAUAAUGAAUGUCGAAUGUGACUGACUAGCAGCUUCAUUUUGAAUGAGGGUCGCUGUCUGCCCAUUGAUAGAGGCCAGAUUGUCUUGGAAGUUCCAAAGUUGCAACGAUUUCUGUAAGUGGAGUUUUUCUGUUUGCUUAGAGAUCAGUGAAUAUUGUGUCCUUGGUCUUAUCUGUGAUGAUCUUAUCCCGAACCUGAACUUCUGUUGAAAAAAAAAAA
ensembl:lncRNA SNHG5 small nucleolar RNA host gene 5